CUGGAUUCAGCGGCGGACGGGUGAGUAAUGCCUAGGAAUCUGCCUGGUAGUGGGGGAUAACGUCCGGAAACGGGCGCUAAUACCGCAUACGUCCUGAGGGAGAAAGUGGGGGAUCUUCGGACCUCACGCUAUCAGAUGAGCCUAGGUCGGAUUAGCUAGUUGGUGGGGUAAAGGCCUACCAAGGCGACGAUCCGUAACUGGUCUGAGAGGAUGAUCAGUCACACUGGAACUGAGACACGGUCCAGACUCCUACGGGAGGCAGCAGUGGGGAAUAUUGGACAAUGGGCGAAAGCCUGAUCCAGCCAUGCCGCGUGUGUGAAGAAGGUCUUCGGAUUGUAAAGCACUUUAAGUUGGGAGGAAGGGCAGUAAGUUAAUACCUUGCUGUUUUGACGUUACCAACAGAAUAAGCACCGGCUAACUUCGUGCCAGCAGCCGCGGUAAUACGAAAGGGUGCAAGCGUUAAUCGGAAUUACUGGGCGUAAAGCGCGCGUAGGUGGUUCAGCAAGUUGGAUGUGAAAUCCCCGGGCUCAACCUGGGAACUGCAUCCAAAACUACUGAGCUAGAGUACGGUAGAGGGUGGUGGAAUUUCCUGUGUAGCGUGAAAUGCGUAGAUAUAGGAAGGAACACCAGUGGGCGAAGGCGACCACCUGGACUGAUACUGA
rnacentral:rRNA from 1 species